UACGUAGGUGGCAAGCGUUGUCCGGAUUUACUGGGCGUAAAGAGCGCGCAGGCGGUCGUUCAAGUCGCGUGUGAAAGCCCCCGGCUCAACUGGGGAGGGUCACGCGAUACUGAUCGGCUGGAAGGCAGGAGAGGGUAGUGGAAUUCCCGGUGUAGUGGUGAAAUGCGUAGAUAUCGGGAGGAACACCAGUGGCGAAGGCGACUACCUGGCCUGUUCUUGACGCUGAGGCGCGAAAGCUAGGGGAGCAAACGGG
rnacentral:rRNA from 1 species